rnacentral:ncRNA from 1 species
UUUGUUCCUGUGGGAAUGGAACGGAUAAUAGGGAAACAGGUGAAAGGCCUGUACGAUCUCGUCACUGUAUGUAACGAGCGCACCCUCUGUGUCAGAAAAGGACAGUCACUGGCGAAAGCCGGGAAGACGAAGGUGCGUGAUGACUUACGAGUCAGGAGACCUGCCGAUUG